rnacentral:lncRNA from 1 species
CUCCAAUUAAGUAAUUAAUGAUGUUAUUUAUACUUUGAUUUCUUGUGCUUUUCCAUAUUAAUUUCUCAUAGCAUCUUAUAUAAUUUUAAAGUAGUCUUUCUGUUGUUUUCUCUAUUUCUGGUUUCCACAAUAUUCCUCUAAUUAGCUAGUCAAAUAGAAUUAGUGCUUUCUUAUUUUAUCAUCCUUCUGAAUUGAUUUCUAUUAACACCUGUGCAUUAUUUGAGAAUAGUCUUCCUUUACCGUGAUUCCUUUUUUAGCACACCAAAUAGAUUGAUUGUCAUAUGAGCGUUAGAAACUUAGGGAUAAUUAAUUUUGUUUUUUUUUCUAAAAUAUUUUGUGUUCUUUUCUAGUUUUAAGUUUUCCAUAUGUAUUGUAACACAAAACAUUUUUUUAGUUGUUAUUUAAUCAUUGACUAUAUAUGUAUUCUAUGCGUUAUUGUUAUCGGCUUGAAUGACUCCCAUACGUUGUGUGGUGUAAGGAGGUACAAGUACAAGCGUCGCAAAAGAUUUUAUUUGUUUCAACUUGUUCCUGCAA